CAGAGUACAGUAGAGAGUGGACAUAUGGCCCAUAAGGUCUUGACAUGAUAAAAUGAUUUCUCUUGGAACAAAUGGACAGCCGACUUUUUUGGUAUUUGAUAGAGGUUUUGGGAUAAAUGUGAUUGGGAUCAACACCAUAAUCAAUGUCCUCAUGAGAAGAAUAGCUAAAUGAUUAUGAUUUUAGUGGGGAGUUGAAGUCUCAAAAUGGUAGAGGAUCCAGUAACUUGAUAAUCAAGUAAGUAUACAAAACGUGGCACAUAACGACUUGUAACAAAAAGUCUCAGAUUUACUCAGCUGCAAAAAGAAUAACAGAGUAAAGUUCUACCAGAAAUUAGGAAGAUGAUUGAAAUCCAUGUCUGACCGAUCAACAAGGACCUUCAGCUCAUUCCCCAUUUCAUGUUGUUCCUUCUGAAGCAGUCUCACAGACUCUUCAACAGAGCGCGUGCAGAGUUGUACCUCAAUCAUCUCGAGACUUGAGCUGUCCCCAAAACCAGAGGGGACCUCCUUGAGCUGUCUGCAAUUUCGCAAAAUUAGGUGUUGAAGUUGUGGCAAGUGAUCACUAGAGGAUUUCCAUUCAGCAAUACUUAGAGUGUCAAGCUUCAAAAAUUUCAGUUUGAGGAAUUCACCUUCUUUCAUUUCCCACACUUUCCCCUCAAAAGCUUUACUGAGCAAUUUGAGAACCUCAAGGUUAGGUAAUCUCCCAAUCUCUGAAAUACAAUUCCAUGGCAGGCGAAAUUUUGACAGAGUUAACUUCCUGAGAUUCAAUGGCAAGUCAAAUUUACAAGGAGGAGCAAUCCUGCCCGAGUAAAGUAUAUUGAGGGAAUCAAGCUCUGUCAGAAAAUUCAGUAUUGGAAACUGAUUGCACUUCCCAGUAUCAUCACGUAAUUCAGAAAACAGACAUCUCAGUUUUUGAAGUUUGAGCAACCUCCUCAUGAUAUUUUCUGUACCUUCACAACAAAGGAGAUACGGAGAGGAAAAACUGACCAGAUUAAUUACUUGGGAAAUAAUUAUGCUCUCAUCAUCUUCCAAGGUGAUGGCAGCAUAAUUAUUGACAUGGAGAUGUCUCAAAUUUUCCAUACUCCAAAGAGUAUAAGGUAGUAGAACUUUACCUUUUAAUCCCUUGACAAUCAAAGUCUCAAGAUCCCUGAGAUGCGAUAUUGAAUCUGGAAUACUAUCUACAUCGCCACAAAGAGCUAAAAAUCUCAGACCAGCCAACACUAGUACUCCAGUGGGGAAAGAAUUCCCCAUAUUGAUGCAUUCCAAAUCCAGCACUCCAAGGAGUUUAAAGUUGUCAAAAAUGAAGGAGAUGUCAUAGGGACAUCUUGGAUACGAAUCACUGGUGGCAGAGUACAGUAGAGAGUGGACAUAUGGCCCAUAAGGUCUUGACAUGAUAAAAUGAUUUCUCUUGGAACAAAUGGACAGCCGACUUUUUUGGUAUUUGAUAGAGGUUUUGGGAUAAAUGUGAUUGGGAUCAACACCAUAAUCAAUGUCCUCAUGAGAAGAAUCAAAAAGUUCAUCAUAUCCAUUUUGGAACUGCAAAAAGUUUUCUUCUUGUGACUGACAUGUUUUCACUCCUCCAUUUGAUCUUCUCUUGGAAGGCAUUACUAGGCUUCUUCCAAUCAGAUCCCUCAAGUAUCUCUCCGCAGUAUCUUCUACACUUUCUACCCUAUUAUCUGUUAUGAAUCCUUCCGCUCUCCAUAACCAUGCCAACUUUCUGACUGGAAUGUCUUUAUCCUUCAAAAACACUGCAAUAUAAAGAAAACAAGGUUUCAAAUAGUUGGGCAAAUAAUUGUAGCUUAGCUCUAAGAUGUCCAUGCACCUCGUUUCAGGAUCAUCGGCAAUCCUUGAGCACAUACUUUCUGAAACUUGUUUCCACUUGUCCGGUGUCAUGUUACUUCUUUUAAGGAGACCAGCUAUUGCAACAACUGCAAGAGGGAGUCCUUUGCAACUUAUGGCUAUUUGCUUUCCAACUUCCAAGAGUUCAUCAGGGCACUCUUUUGUGUCAUAUAACUUCUUUUGUAACAACUUCCAGCUUUCGUCAUCAGAGAGUGGCCGAAGGAGAUGAGGACUACUAUAUGCUUUGAUUUUCUCAGCCACAUCAAAGUGACGCUGGUGAUCAGUACUCUGC
rnacentral:lncRNA from 1 species